AAAGUUUAGACGUGUUUCGACA
rnacentral:siRNA from 1 species